GGUUAUGGCUCAGUGGCAGAGCACCUGCCUAGCAUGUGUGAGGCACUGGGUUCGAUCCUCAGCACCA
rnacentral:tRNA from 1 species